GACGUAGGGCGCGAGCGUUGUCCGGAUUUAUUGGGCGUAAAGAGCUCGUAGGCGGCUUGUUACGUCGACUGUGAAAACCCGCGGCUCAACCGCGGGCCUGCAGUCGAUACGGGCAGGCUAGAGUUCGGUAGGGGAGACUGGAAUUCCUGGUGUAGCGGUGAAAUGCGCAGAUAUCAGGAGGAACACCCGGUGGCGAAGGCGG
rnacentral:rRNA from 1 species